UGCCUCACUCCAAAAAGAGAAUUGAGACACCCCUCUGUCUCUCGUGCCCGUGCAAAAUGGAGGGGAAGGGCCAAGGGGUAGAAUUGAGAUUCAGCAGUGUGGCUUAUAUACUAAAAAAUACCAAUUUUAACACCAGUACCUUCCGAUAUGAUACACAUGUACUUCUUUAAUCAAUCAAUCAAUCAAUUUUUUUUAUAUAGUGCCAAAUCACAACAAACAGUUGCCCCAAGGCGCUUUAUAUUGUAAGGCAAGGCCAUACAAUAAUUAUGUAAAACCCCAACGGUCAAAACGACCCCCUGUGAGCAAGCACUUGGCUACAGUGGGAAGUCUUUAGUCAUUAAAAUUGGGUCAUAAUGAUAAGAAGACAUCAUGUAGCUGUUUACACAACAACAGGGUGUUUUUCUGACCUGGUUUCUUGGUGUCUGAACGUCUGGUCCAGGUGGAUUUGAAUCAGCUCCAAGUCCACGUCUUCUAGACACAACUGCAGCUCUGGCACCAAUCCAGAUUCAGCAUUUGGGUCAGAAUUGUACCAGUUCUGGCCUAGAUGAGUAUAUUUUGUCUGGAUGUGUGGACUAUGUGUGCGACUGCCACAAAGAUAACCCCUCUGGAGGUGGAUCUGGCCCAAAGUCAGCUGCUGUGCAUGUACUUUAUAUGGUUAAAUGUUGUGGCUGCGUUAAGGGGUGGUGCCACAGAACUGUCACAUAUUUUUACCAUUAAAGAAAUAGAGCAUUUUAGACUUUGUAGAGGAAUUUUAGAUUGUUUUACCUAAAUAAAAUAGCGUCAAAAAAUCCACGCACACAAACAAGAGUGGGUUUAAAUCCUGAAACGUGUGUCAAGUCUUUCCAGGAGGUGAUGUGAAGUUUUUCUAACACUGAAGCACUCAAAACUUCCCACAAUCUUUUUAAAUCUCAUUGCAUUGUAUUUGAAGCUAGAGAAGGAAACGGAGGCAAAACAGUCUCUAAAUGCUCCAAAUGCCGAAUGUCACCUUUGAUUUGACGUGACGAUAAAAUAAGCAAACCUUCAAAGACAUCCACGUAUUUUUGGACUAAAGUGCGUUUUGGUCGUGGACCGACGGCGUCAUGUUGUUCCUGCUGUUGUGACGUGACUCAGGACCAAACUCUUCUUAGACUUACUGUACAGAAUUCCUGAAUACUGUAUGUGGACACUUUGCACAUUUAAAUACUGUGUGAUGUCAGGAACAGUAUUCAAAUAAACCACAUGCAGAGACACGCCUCAGUAAUUCUUAUAUAUUCCUUCAUACCAACAUCAGCGCAGUUGGAAUAAAGUGAUGCGCUCCAACUUUUCCUUUUCUUUCAAACCACACAACACUUCCAACAAAAGAAAAUAGUCCUUCCCUGUUUUUAGAAAGCACAACCAUCACAGGAUCACAGGAACGUUGGAAAUGGCUGAAUGCAGCUUUAUAGUUUUUGCAUCGUUUUCCACGAACAUCAGAGCAAACCAAAAAAACCUAUCUGAGGUUUCAGUAUUAAAGCUGCAAUAUAUGAGAGGGAAAAAAACUCAGGUUAUUAUAAGAAGCUGAAUAUUUUUAUUACAAUUCUGUUUAUUGGGGCCCUUUUAAAAAAAUUGUAAUUAAAAUGUUUAAGAGUUGCUAUUGAAGUCCAACUUCAAAGUCAAAAUAUUUCAAGUAAAUAAAUCAUUGUGCUGUGGGAAUAAAGACCAAAUAUGUUUUACUAACUUAGAAUUUUUACACAGUAACGCCUAUUUUUUUUUUUUUUUUUUUUUAAUGGCUUUGAAAAGGAAACGUUUAAAUAUGAGAUAAAAGGUCUUUCUGCAGUUAAAGUUGUACUGACCUUUUUAUGAAAGACUGUCAUGUGGUCAUAAAACUAAACUUGUACUACUAUAAGAAUAAAGUAAUAUGAGGACAAUAAACCGUGUUAUUGUGAUACUACAUUCAUAAUAUUUGAAAAUUGCCAUUUUUCAGAGUAAAUUUCAUGGGAAAA